rnacentral:rRNA from 1 species
GACGAACGCUGGCGGCGUGCCUAACACAUGCAAGUCGAGCGGAGCCUAGCUGAAGAUUUAUCUUCAGCGAAAGCUUAGCGGCGAACGGGUGAGUAACGCGUGGGCAACCUGCCUUAUACAGGGGGAUAACACCGGGAAACCGGUGCUAAUACCGCAUAACACCGAGGUACAGCAUUGUAUCAUGGUCAAAGGAGGAAUCCGGUAUAAGAUGGGCCCGCGUCCGAUUAGCUAGUAGGUGAGGUAAAGGCUCACCUAGGCGACGAUCGGUAGCCGAACUGAGAGGUUGAUCGGCCACAUUGGGACUGAGACACGGCCCAGACUCCUACGGGAGGCAGCAGUGGGGAAUAUUGCGCAAUGGGGGGAACCCUGACGCAGCAACGCCGCGUGAAGGACGAAGGUUUUCGGAUCGUAAACUUCUUUGAUUGGGGAAGAAAGAAAUGACGGUACCCAAAAAACAAGCCACGGCUAACUACGUG